CCUGCGCGUCGGGGCGGUGGCGCGGGGUGGAGGUAAGUCCCGGCGCCUGCGCGGUCUGCGGCGGGGAAAAUCGGGGUGAACCUUCGCGACGCUUUCCGGUUCCAGUAGAGGUCUGGAACUGCAACCUUCGGGCGCCUGGCGUUUGUGGCCUUCUGGUCUUCGCCGGCGACCCGUGAGCAUCCCAAUUCAGGAGGCCCGACGAUUUACUAAGCGCCCUGGAGUCCAACCAUGAGCCCGGCGACGUCGACCCGCCGGACACUCCCGUGCCGGACACUCCGCAGGGUCUCGCCGACUUGCUGAGGUUAACCUCGAACUUAUAAUCCUCCGGGUGGCUGAGAUCCCAGCCUGACCACCCACGCGUGCCCCAGCCUAUGUUUGAGUAAAACUCCACCCAGAUCUGCAUUCCCUAUCUCAGAAAAGAAGGAAGGAGGCCUUCCCAAGCCACAAGUUGCUGAUCAAGGGCAGGUUAGUCGUUCACUGGCCAGAGAAGGCUGAGGAACGCGAGCUCAAGCUGCCAAGGGUCAGUGUGCACAGGAAGGGAACAGUUGUUUUCCUUCAAUCUUGGAAGCCCAGAAACAAAAACUUCAAUCUGUAGCAGGAAGAGCAGAUUAACAACUUUUAGAAAGGAGAGUAUUAACCACUCCAUAGUUUGGUCAGGAGUGGAGUAUCUUUUUUGCAGACCUUUGGUUUUAUGUGGAUAGCCAUCUUGGACCAGCUCAGCUGCACCCUGCUGGAGGCAGCUGACUCACCUCUGGAAGUCACAUGGCACCCUGCCAGACUUAUGGCCCAGGCAUUGCAUAAGCCCACGAUGCUCAUGGGAAAUGCGGAGGCACUGCUCCCCAAUGGGGAGAGGGAUCUGUUGUCUCAUCCCGUGGCAGCUGCAUUCCUAGCCCAGGCAAGUCCCUGCUAUCCACCCAGUGCAGACGCGAGGGCCACUGGGUAUGGGGUCUACCCAGGUCCAGAGUGAGUGCCCAAGAGCAGUCGGAUCUGCUACAGAGAAGGGUUACAGUGACUUACACUUAUCUCUGUAUUUCUGUUCCCAGGUUUAUAAUGAACAAUUAUAACAAUAACCAAUAUUUUGGAGUGCUGAGUAGUGUCUGGCUCCACAUCAAACACUGUUGAUAUUCACAACUCAGUAAAUACUUCUGAUAUCACUAUGUUAUAAUGAAAAUGAUUCAGAAAAAUUAAAAGAUACCACGCCCAAGA